rnacentral:rRNA from 1 species
CCGACACAGGUGGGCGGGGUGAGAAUCCCAAGGCGCUUGAGAGAACCCUGCUUAAGGAACUCUGCAAAAUGACACCGUAACUUCGGGAGAAGGUGUGCCCUCGUACGUGAACCUGCACAAGGGGAGCGGAAGAGGGUUGCAGAGAAACGGGGGUAGCGACUGUUUACCAAAAACCCAGCACUCUGCGAAGUCGGAAGACGACGUAUAGGGUGUGAUGCCUGCCCGGUGCCGGAAGGUUAAGGGGAGUUGUCAGCCGCAAGGCAAAGCAGCGAACCGAAGCCCCGGUAAACGGCGGCCGUAACUAUAACGGUCCUAAGGUAGCGAAAUUCCUUGUCGGGUAAGUUCCGACCUGCACGAAUGGCAUAACGACUUCCCCACUGUCUCGAGCGGGGACUCAGCGAAGUAGCACUAGGGGUGAAGAUACCCUUUACCCGCGGCAGGACGGAAAGACCCCGUGAACCUUUACUGUAACUUGACACUGAACUUCGGGUUCGUUUGCGUAGCAUAGGUGGGACGCUAGGAAGCUUGGACUCUGGUCUGAGUGGAGCGGCCGUUGAAAUACCACCCUGACGAAUCUGGAGUUCUAACCUGCACCCGUGAGCCGGGUGGGGGACAAUGUCUGGUGGGCAGUUUGACUGGGGCGGUCGCCUCCCAAAGAGUAACGGAGGCGCGCGAAGGUUCCCUCAGGCUGAUUGGAAACCAGCCGACGAGUGUAAUGGCAUAAGGGAGCUUGACUGCGAGACUGACAAGUCGAGCAGGUGCGAAAGCAGGUCAUAGUGAUCCGGUGGUUCUGAAUGGAAGGGCCAUCGCUCAACGGAUAAAAGGUACUCCGGGGAUAACAGGCUUAUCACGCCCAAGAGUUCACAUCGACGGCGUGGUUUGGCACCUCGAUGUCGGCUCAUCGCAUCCUGGGGCUGAAGUUGGUCCCAAGGGUUGGGCUGUUCGCCAAUUAAAGCGGUACGCGAGCUGGGUUCAAAACGUCGUGAGACAGUUUGGUCCCUAUCCGCCGUGGGCGCAGGAUGCUUGAGAGGAUCUGUCCUUAGUACGAGAGGACCGGUAUGGACGGACCGCUAGUGUUCCGGUUGUGGCGCCAGCCGCAGUGCCGGGUAGCUAUGUUCGGAAGGGAUAACCGCUGAAAGCAUCUAAGCGGGAAGCCCACCUCGAGAUAAGGCAUCCCUGAGACUUCGGUCUCCUGAAGACCCCACAUAGACCAUGUGGUUGAUAGGCUGGGUGUGGAAGCGCUGUAAGGCGCGGAGCUAGCCAGUACUAAUCGGUCGUGAGGCUUGACCAC